CCUACGGGAGGCAGCAGUAAGGAAUAUUGGUCAAUGGACGCAAGUCUGAACCAGCCAUGCCGCGUGAAGGAUGAAGGUCCUCUGGAUUGUAAACUUCUUUUAUAGGGGGCGAAAAAAGGUCUUUCUAGWUCACUUGACAGUACCCUAUGAAUAAGCACCGGCUAACUCCGUGCCAGCAGCCGCGGUAAUACGGAGGGUGCAAGCGUUAUCCGGAUUCACUGGGUUUAAAGGGUGCGUAGGCGGGUAGGUAAGUCAGAGGUGAAAUCCUGGAGCUUAACUCCAGAACUGCCUUUGAUACUAUCUAUCUUGAAUAUGGUGGAGGUAAGCGGAAUAUGUCAUGUAGCGGUGAAAUGCAUAGAUAUGACAUAGAACACCUAUUGCGAAGGCAGCUUACUACGCCUAUAUUGACGCUGAGGCACGAAAGCGUGGGGAUCAAACAGGAUUAGAUACCCUGGUAGUCCACGCCCUAAACGAUGAUUACUCGACGUAUGCGAUACACAGUAUGCGUCUGAGCGAAAGCAUUAAGUAAUCCACCUGGGAAGUACGACCGCAAGGUUGAAACUCAAAUGAAUUGACGGGG
rnacentral:rRNA from 1 species